CCGCAUGUCUCUCUUAUCCACAAUUCCACAUCGCCACUCCUCUUUCUCACCCAACGCUGGUCCUCCUCUUCUUGAGCCACACUAUCACCCAAUGCUGUUGCUCCUCCUCUUCUACACAUGUUGCGCCGUCGAUGCACUCCACUCUCCUGGAGUGCGCGUGGCCGUGGUGGCUGGCCAGAGCCAGCGCAGCACCCCUUAUUGGCGAGGAACCCAGAGACGCCAUGGAUGGCGCCAUGGAAGCUCCUCUGCUGUCGGUCUGAUCUGGCCGUCACGCCCCAGUCGUCGGCCCGCUCUGUAUCCGGCCAGCAGCCCCGCCUCCGAUCCGAUUCGGACGGCCCCACGCACAGCCUCCGCCACCUACGGGCUACGGCAUGCCCCCAGAGGUUCUGCUGAUCCCGCGCCGCUCAUCCUGGCUUCAUCCUCUGCUCGCGGCUCGCGUUGACCGCCUCGCCGCGGCCUGCUCCAGGCCACCAAUCGGAGCCUGUCCACGAAGUCCAGCCGGCCCUCCUCCCGGGCGCGCUCCUCGGCCGUUGCCGCGUGCUCCGCCAGCAGCUUCGUCAUGAGCCCGUCGAAUUGGCGGUGCACCUGGCGCAUCUUGGCCCAGCCACGACCGCGCCAGCACGAAGUCGCUGAUGUUGAAUAGCCCCGUGCUGGCCAGGAGCGACAUGAUCAUCUCCUUGUAGCUGCUAGACUCGUCCUCGUCCCCGACCGCAACGCCUGGCCGAUGCCCCCUCUCUUCCUCUGCUGCGAAAUUGCUAUCUCGCGAGCGCCACGGCGACCACGACCGCUCUAUCUUAGGGAAAUCAAUGGGUUGGGUUCGUUCCGUUCCAUUUUCUUCGCUCCUUUCCCACUUGGAAUUUCUUCUCAUUCCGUUUUCCUUUCCUUUGCUCCGUCUUCAUUACGGAGGAAAUUCGUUCCUUUCCCUUCUUUUCGGAAGAAAUUCGUUCCUUUCCCUUCUCCUCUGGAGGGAAUUUGGGCGCGGCGGCGGGGGCCGGUGGGGGCGGCGCGCCGCGGAAGGGCGGGGCAGCAGAUGGACGGGGCCCGGUGGGGGCGGCGCGCCGCGGAAGGGCGGGGCAGCAGAUGGACGGGGCCCGGCGGUGGUGGCGCGCUGCGGAUGGAUGGGAGGCAAGGUCGUGGGUCGUUCAGUUGUUCUUUUUUUUUUUCUGUUUUGCCCGUACCGGUUCGGGUUAACUUGAACAAUAGGAUUGCGGGUUGAUUUUAGAAAAAGCUAGGGGCUUUUUUGCAAAAAAGCCGACGACGUACGACCAGAAGCGAUAACUGGUUUAUU
rnacentral:rRNA from 1 species